UACGUAGGUGGCAAGCGUUGUCCGGAUUUACUGGGCGUAAAGAGCGCGCAGGCGGUCGUUCAAGUCGCGUGUGAAAGCCCCCGGCUCAACUGGGGAGGGUCACGCGAUACUGAUCGACUCGAAGGCAGGAGAGGGUAGUGGAAUUCCCGGUGUAGUGGUGAAAUGCGUAGAUAUCCGGAGGAACACCGGUGGCGAAGGCGGCUUCCUGGACCGACACUGACGCUGAGGCGCGAAAGCUAGGGGAGCAAACGGG
rnacentral:rRNA from 1 species